GGAGUUAGCCGGUGCUUCUUCUGUGAGUGAUGUCCUUCCUGCCGGCUAUUAACCCGCAGGCCUUCUUCCUCACUGAAAGUGCUUUACAACCCGAAGGCCUUCUUCACACACGCGGCAUGGCUGGAUCAGGGUUGCCCCCAUUGUCCAAUAUUCCCCACUGCUGCCUCCCGUAGGAGUCUGGGCCGUGUCUCAGUCCCAGUGUGGCUGAUCAUCCUCUCAGACCAGCUACGGAUCGUCGCCUUGGUGAGCCGUUACCUCACCAACCAGCUAAUCCGACAUAGGCUCAUCCGAUAGCGCGAGGCCCGAAGGUCCCCCGCUUUCCCCCGUAGGGCGUAUGCGGUAUUAGCCUGGGUUUCCCCAGGUUAUCCCCCACUACCGGGCAGAUUCCUAUGCAUUACUCACCCGUCCGCCGCUCGCCACCAGGGAGCAAGCUCCCCGUGCUGCCGCUCGACUUGCAUGUGUUAGGCCUGCCGCCACGCGUCAUCUGAGCAUAAUACAACUACUGUA
rnacentral:rRNA from 1 species